UACGUAGGCAGCAAGCGUUGUUCGGAGUUACUGGGCGUAAAGCGAACGUAGGCGGUGUUCCAUGUCAGAGGUGAAAGCCUGGGGCUCAACUCCAGAAUUGCCUUUGAAACGGGGACGCUUGAGUCCGAGAGAGGGUGGCAGAAUUCCUAGUGUAGAGGUGAAAUUCGUAGAUAUUAGGAAGAACACCAGUGGCGAAGGCGGCCACCUGGCUCGGUACUGACGCUCAGGUUCGAAAGCGUGGGGAGCAAACAGG
rnacentral:rRNA from 1 species